UCGGCUUUGGCACAGCCCAGAAAUGUCUCCAAACACCGGGCAUUUUGGGGAGGAUAGAGGAAGUGUUUCUCCAUUUCCUCUCAUACGAUGGAGCUUGCUGCCAACGUCCCCCCCUGGGGAGCUGCCAGGUUUGGUGCUGCUGGAGCCCUGCCUUGAAGCAGUGACACGGGGUGAUGCAAUGGGCCACAGCUCUUGCACCACUGGCACAGGGAAAGCGCCCAUGGUGCCCGCGGUCCUGGGGUGGUGCGGGGCAAGGGAGCAGCUGCACGAGGGCUGCCAGGGCUGUUUGCUUCCUUGGCAGAUCCCUGGUGUUUCCCUGCCUGUUCUCCUGUGAGUGAGAGGAUGGAGUCUUGUGUGAGAAACUUGCAGUCCAACCUGUAAAAUAACAAAGGACUCAAUAGGAGGGACAGAAAGGAUCAAAAAAUGGAAUAAGAAACCUCUCUCAAAACGUUGCUACUGAUCAGAACUGGCUGUAGGAGUCGGAUAUCUGCAUGAAAGUGAAACCACUUCUGAGACAUGCAUUUUCCCUUUGCUCUGUGUUAUAGCUUAUGUGCAGACUGCAGCACAGUUCUUGCUGUCUCUGCCG
ensembl:lncRNA